GGAACUGGAAAGAGCUUUUCUAAGACUUGCAGUUUUUUACUUUGUGGUCCAAAACAGUAAAAGUGCCUAGUAUAGGUUAGAAAGCUGACUGAAAUGAGACCUGAAGUUUUCAUCUUGCAAGUGGGGUCAUUACAAUGAUCUAACUGCCUUACCUGCUUUUGAACUGGUUGAGCCUCUUGUGGGACCGAAAACAAAAGAAGGGUGUUGAAAUGCAAAUAGAUAACUCUGGGUCCCAGUCCCUGACUGCAAAAGGAAGCCAAAACUGACAACAACGUCUCCUUCUCUACGGAGGUUUGUAGAAAGGCUGUACAAAAAUCUCACAAGAUGUAUUUCUUCUCGUGGACUGGAGUCCCAAGGUGCUUAAGAGCUCUUCAAUUUGUUAAUGGAAAGAAACACCAUUUACACCGGAUGGCUACAAAGCAACCUUAUUCUGGAUCCAGUUGAAAAUCAGGCAUUGCAUCCAGUUAUCAUGGCUUUAAUCUUAAUGCCUUCCCUGCACUGUUUUGGGAAUAUCUUAAUACUGCUAUUUUUGAAGAGUCCAGCUCAGUUAUUCUGCAGAAUAGGGAGAUUUGAGACAGGAGAAGAGAAGACACGAAGGAGGGAAGGAAGUGAUGUGACCACAGAGGCAGCGAUUGGAGUGAUGUAGUCACAAGCCAAGGAGCACCAACAGCCACCAGGAGCUGGAAGAGCCCAAGAGUAUAUACUAAUACCUGGAUUUGGGACUUGGGACUUCUGGUCUCUAGAAGUAGGAAAGAAUAAACAUCUGUUUUUUGUU
rnacentral:lncRNA from 1 species